GAUGAACGCUGGCGGCGUGCCUAAUACAUGCAAGUCGAGCGAACAGACGAGGAGCUUGCUCCUCUGACGUUAGCGGCGGACGGGUGAGUAACACGUGGAUAACCUACCUAUAAGACUGGGAUAACUUCGGGAAACCGGAGCUAAUACCGGAUAAUAUAUUGAACCGCAUGGUUCAAUAGUGAAAGACGGUUUUGCUGUCACUUAUAGAUGGAUCCGCGCCGCAUUAGCUAGUUGGUAAGGUAACAGCUUACCAAGGCAACGAUGCGUAGCCGACCUGAGAGGGUGAUCGGCCACACUGGAACUGAGACACGGUCCAGACUCCUACGGGAGGCAGCAGUAGGGAAUCUUCCGCAAUGGGCGAAAGCCUGACGGAGCAACGCCGCGUGAGUGAUGAAGGUCUUCGGAUCGUAAAACUCUGUUAUUAGGGAAGAACAAAUGUGUAAGCAACUAUGCACGUCUUGACGGUACCUAAUCAGAAAGCCACGGCUAACUACGUG
rnacentral:rRNA from 1 species